CGGAGCUAGAGGGCUUCGAUCCCACACUACACUAGUUAACAGCUAGCAAAUCUACCAAUGACAUAACUCC
rnacentral:tRNA from 1 species